GACGGCCAGUGCCAAGCUUGCAUGCCUGCAGGUCGACGAUUAGAGUUUGAUCCUGGCUCAGAUUGAACGCUGGCGGCAGGCCUAACACAUGCAAGUCGAGCGGUAGAAGGAAGCUUGCUUCCUUUGAGAGCGGCGGACGGGUGAGUAAUGCCUAGGAAUCUGCCUGGUAGUGGGGGAUAACGUUCGGAAACGGACGCUAAUACCGCAUACGUCCUACGGGAGAAAGCAGGGGACCUUCGGGCCUUGCGCUAUCAGAUGAGCCUAGGUCGGAUUAGCUUGUUGGUGAGGUAAUGGCUCACCAAGGCGACGAUCCGUAACUGGUCUGAGAGGAUGAUCAGUCACACUGGAACUGAGACACGGUCCAGACUCCUACGGGAGGCAGCAGUGGGGAAUAUUGGACAAUGGGCGAAAGCCUGAUCCAGCCACGCCGCGUGUGUGAAGAAGGUCUUAGGAUUGUAAAGCACUUUAAGUUGGGAGGAAGGGUUGUAGUUUAAUACGCUGCAAUCUUGACGUUACCGACAGAAUAAGCACCGGCUAACUCUGUACCAGCAGCCGCGGUAAUACAGAGGGUGCAAGCGUUAAUCGGAAUUGCUGGGCGUAAACGCGCGUAGGUGGCAAAAGUAAGAUGGGUGUGAAAUCCCCGGGCUCAACCUGGGAACUGCAUCC
rnacentral:rRNA from 2 species